rnacentral:rRNA from 1 species
GGCUGAAAUUCGCCUUCAUGAAGCCGGAAUUGCUAGUAAUGGCAGGUCAGCAUACUGCCGUGAAUACGUUCCCGGGCCCUUGUACACACCGCCCGUCACACCAUGAGAGUUGGGGAUACCCGAAGCCUGUGAGCUAACAGUAAUGAAGCAGCAGUCGAAGGUAGAAUCAAUGAUUGGGGUGAAGUCGUAACAAGGUAGC